rnacentral:rRNA from 1 species
AACGAACGCUGGCGGCAGGCCUAACACAUGCAAGUCGAGCGCGCCUUCGGGCGAGCGGCGGACGGGUUAGUAACGCGUGGGAACGUGCCCAGAUCUACGGAAUAGCCACUGGAAACGGUGAGUAAUACCGUAUACGCCCUUAGGGGGAAAGAUUUAUCGGAUUUGGAUCGGCCCGCGUUAGAUUAGGUAGUUGGUGGGGUAACGGCCUACCAAGCCUACGAUCUAUAGCUGGUUUUAGAGGAUGAUCAGCAACACUGGGACUGAGACACGGCCCAGACUCCUACGGGAGGCAGCAGUGGGGAAUCUUGGACAAUGGGGGCAACCCUGAUCCAGCCAUGCCGCGUGAGUGAUGAAGGCCUUAGGGUCGUAAAGCUCUUUCGCCUGUGAUGAUAAUGACAGUAGCAGGUAAAGAAACCCCGGCUAACUCCGUG